rnacentral:rRNA from 1 species
UUAUCUCUGUAGAGUCUGCAUAUCAAUAAGCGGAGGAAAAGAAACUAACUAGGAUUCCCUCAGUAACGGCGAGUGGAAGCGGGAAGAGCUCAAAUUUGAAAUCUUCAAGGUUCUACCUUGACGAAUUGUAGUUUAAAGAAGUGUUUUCUGUUGAGUGUUUCGGUAAAAGUUCUUUGGAAUAGGACAUCAUAGAGGGUGAGAAUCCCGUAUUUGACCAUUACUUUCAGCUGUGUGAUACACUUUCAAAGAGUCGGAUUGUUUGGGAAUGCAGUCCAAAAUGGGUGGUAAAUUUCAUCUAAAGCUAAAUAUUGGCGAGAGACCGAUAGCGAACAAGUACCGUGAGGGAAAGAUGAAAAGAACUUUGAAAAGAGAGUUAAACAGUACGUGAAAUUGUCAAAAGGGAAGCGUUUGACACCAGUGUUGUUUUCUCGAAAAUCAAUUAAAAAAUGGCAGUGAUUUUGUGUUGUAUUGACCUUAAAAGCUUUCUUCACUUUUUUCAUGUCUUUUUUAAUGCACUUUUCGUUUAACAAGUCAACAUCAGUUUCUUUUGUUGUAAAAAGGUCAUUGGAAGGUGGCUUUCUUUUCGGAGAAAGUGUUUAUAGCCUUUGACUUCUGCAAUCGGAGAGGCUGAGGUCUGCAGCGUAGAUCCUUCUGGAUUAGAUUCAUUUGUGCUAAGUUACAACCGUUUAUAGACAACUUGUUGACUAUAUUCGAUCCUGUAGCUUACUCGCUUAUGUAAUUUUACCUACGCUUAGGAUGUUGAUAGUCACAGCGUGUAC